UGGGGAAUAUUGGACAAUGGGCGCAAGCCUGAUCCAGCCAUGCCGCGUGAGUGAUGAAGGCCUUAGGGUUGUAAAGCUCUUUUAGCAGGGAAGAUAAUGACGGUACCUGCAGAAAAAGCCCCGGCUAACUUCGUGCCAGCAGCCGCGGUAAUACGAAGGGGGCUAGCGUUGCUCGGAAUUACUGGGCGUAAAGCGCACGUAGGCGGACUCUUAAGUCGCUGGUGAAAUCCUGGAGCUCAACUCCAGAACUGCCUUCGAUACUGGGAGUCUUGAGUUCGGGAGAGGUGAGUGGAACUGCGAGUGUAGAGGUGAAAUUCGUAGAUAUUCGCAAGAACACCAGUGGCGAAGGCGGCUCACUGGCCCGAUACUGACGCUGAGGUGCGAAAGCGUGGGGAGCAAACA
rnacentral:rRNA from 1 species